UUUCUUUUAACUUUGCAGCACAUAUACUAAAAUUGGAACGAUACAGAGAAGAUUAGCAUGGCCCCUGCGCAAAAAGAUAUAUUUGCUGUGAAAAAAAUAAUUGACACUA